rnacentral:rRNA from 1 species
UAGGGAAUCUUCGGCAAUGGACGGAAGUCUGACCGAGCAACGCCGCGUGAGUGAAGAAGGUUUUCGGAUCGUAAAGCUCUGUUGUAAGAGAAGAACGAGUGUGAGAGUGGAAAGUUCACACUGUGACGGUAUCUUACCAGAAAGGGACGGCUAACUACGUGCCAGCAGCCGCGGUAAUACGUAGGUCCCGAGCGUUGUCCGGAUUUAUCGGGCGUAAAGCGAGCGCAGGCGGUUAGAUAAGUCUGAAGUUAAAGGCUGUGGCUUAACCAUAGUACGCUUUGGAAACUGUUUAACUUGAGUGCAAGAGGGGAGAGUGGAAUUCCAUGUGUAGCGGUGAAAUGCGUAGAUAUAUGGAGGAACACCGGUGGCGAAAGCGGCUCUCUGGCUUGUAACUGACGCUGAGGCUCGAAAGCGUGGGGAGCAAACAGGAUUAGAUACCCUGGUAGUCCACGCCGUAAACGAUGAGUGCUAGGUGUUAGACCCUUUCCGGGGUUUAGUGCCGUAGCUAACGUAUUAAGCACUCCGCCUGGGGAGUACGACCGCAAGGUUG